rnacentral:rRNA from 1 species
GUGCCAGCAGCCGCGGUAAGACGUAGGGCGCAAGCGUUGUCCGGAUUUAUUGGGCGUAAAGAGCUCGUAGGCGGCUCGUUGCGUCGGCUGUGAAAACCCAUGGCUUAACUGUGGGCUUGCAGCCGAUACGGGCGGGCUGGAGUUCGGUAGGGGAGACUGGAAUUCCUGGUGUAGCGGUGAAAUGCGCAGAUAUCAGGAGGAACACCGGUGGCGAAGGCGGGUCUCUGGGCCGAUACUGACGCUGAGGAGCGAAAGCGUGGGGAGCGAACAGGAUUAGAAACCCUUGUAGUCC